rnacentral:lncRNA from 1 species
GAGCCCCUCCGUCCAGCAGCCACCCCGUCUGGGAAGUGAGGAGCGUCUCCGCCCGGCAGCCACCCCGUCCGGGGGGGAGGUGGGGGGGGUCAGCCCCCCGCCCGGCCAGCCGCCCCGUCCGGGAGAGAUGGGGGUCUCGCCAUGUUGUCCAGGCUGGUGUUGAACUCCUGAGUUCAAGUGAUCCUCCUGCUUUGGCUCCCCAAAGUGCUGGGAUUACAGGGAGCUUCACAAAUCAUACAUUAACCAGAGCUCCUGAAACAGAAGGCCAGACGGGACAUAUUACAGCAGGAACUGGCUCACCACCAUCCAGGGUCCCGCAUCCCAGGAGGCUGUUUAAAUCAACACACAGACUAUGCAGGUGUCUUUCCCCCAGCGAACUUCCCAGCUCCUCGGUGGGAGGGUCUAACCUGCCCUCUCCCCAGUGCGAUAUUUCAUGUCACCUUCUGGGAACUGCCUGGCUGUGGCUCGACGCACGGUGAUGGGGACCUCACCACUGUCCUGCCCAUGUGUCAGAGGAGGAGCAGAGGCACAGAGAGACACCCAGAGAAGAUAGCCAUGCAACAGCAGAGGGGAGGCUGGAGCCAAGGACCCCCGGGAUUGCCGGCCACACCAGAACUGGGCCAGGUGCAGGGCGAUCCUCCCUGCAGACUUCAGAGGGGGUGCCCGCAGUGCAGAGACCACAGGGGUCCCCGCGCCGCCGGAUGCCCGAGGAUGUGAGACUGUGCACCAUCUGCCCGCUGCCCGCUGCCACGUCCGUGUGCUCGGGGCAGGGAAGAGCUCAAGCCAGUGACCUUGAAAGAGGGAACACAGCUGAGAAACGUGUCAGAUGCCCUUCCGGGCUGGCGGCGCUGGCUGCACAUCUGUCUGGAGUGCGUGGAUGCCAGAAGUCACUGUCCAUGGGGUGACAGCGCAGCCUGGAGCUGAUGAGAGGCUGGGUGCGCGCUGCACGUCUCCAGCAGGUCCCCACAGCAGGCUCUGCUGCAGGCAUCUGGGCGGAACUGAGACUGGACAGACCGAGGCUGCCAGCAGAGGGAGGGGCAGGAGGCCUGUCCCAGGGAGGCACAGAGGGGGUGCGGCAGGGCCUCCCCCAGCCUCUCCCUCGCCUGGCACCCCCACCUUCCCUCCUUUCCUCGUGAUCGCCUUCCCUUCCCUUUCCUUUCUUCUUCCCUUCAGAAGGAGGAGCUGUGGGCAGAGGGACUUUGGAAAGCAUGGCGUUACUUACCUUUCACACCUCUCAGGGCUUACGCCAUCCUCCUGCGAAUGAUGAAAGACAUCAUCCCUGCCUCCAGCUGGGCCUCGGAAGAGAGCACUGAUUUACAGAACGGGAGCUUUCCCCUUAGCGUGGCCCCCAGGUCAGAGUUUCCCAGACGGAGGGCCUUGGAAGAUUGGCUUCUCUCGGUGUUUCUGGCAGACCAGGCAGAAAGUGAGGGGCAGCUCGUGUUGGAAAGAGUUCGGGACACGCCGCCACCCGUGACCUCUCCUAGAGGUGACGGCAUAUGUGUGAGCAGAGGGAAGGCUCCGAGCAGCCCCGGAGGAAGUACACAUGCGUGGCUUUAUCUAACCAGACAUUUCCCUUGGAGUCCUUUCCCCCACGGAGGGUGGACUGACACCUCAGAACCCUGUGUUCUGGAGACCCUGGGGGGAUCCUCCCUGGCAGCCCUGCGGGGAAACAGUCUCUGGGUGCAGAGCAGCGGUGCCUGUGCUUUUUGUGUUUAUGAGUCACUCAUCGAGCAGUCUUUGCCCAAUGAAAGGUUUGAGGAGCUGUUACUUGGGCCAAGUCCUGGGGAAGUGAUGAAAUAGAGACGGUUUGUCUUCAGUGCUGGCAACCUCCCCUUUUUAGUCACUUCUUUCCUGUCUCCAGAGAGGGUUUCCUCUCUGGUCAUCCACUUGCUCAGGCAUCAGUGUUCUGAUUCUGCCCAAACUUUCCUCUCUUUUAAAUUAUCCUUCAUGGCUAGGAUGGGAGUACUUGUUUAUACUAAUGUGUAAAUGACUAACCAGCUAAUAUUGCUUAUAUUCUGUGUGGGCAGGAGGCUUUGCAUAGGCCUCUCACAUGUCCCGAGGUUUGCCUUUAGGCAGAGGACCGUCUCCUCUGACAGCGUUAACUUAAUGCACCUGCUACGCUUAAUGAAUACUUAGGCUUGAUGAAUACGCAGAUGCGCCAGAUCAGUUCUGGGUAAAGGACAAACACCGUGAGCAGGACAGGUGGGGUCUGGAGGGGGAGGCAGAUGCACCAAGGCAAGGGGAAAUACCUAAAGACUGUUAGUGUCAGCACAGCGUCGCUUCAGGCCGAGUAAGCAAUGCCCAUCCAGAAAGUGGCAGAUGGUGGCGUGUGGAGCAAGACAUGGAGAGAGAAGAUGAAAGAUGCUCAGAUCGGGGCUCGGCAAACUUUCUCUACAAAGGCCAGAUGACAAAUAAAGGAACGGUGGCUGUGUGGGCCACCCAGGGCCUGCCUAAAAAAAAAAAAAAAAA